GCCAUGCGCUCCAGGCUCCUCUGUUGUGUGGUCCUAUGUCUCCUGGGGUCAGGCCAAGUGGAGUCUGAAGUCACUCAAACCCCUAAGCACCUGAUCAAAGCAAGGAGACAGCAGGUGACCUUGAAUUGUUCCUAUGAGUCUGGACACAUUUAUGUGUUCUGGUACCAGCAGAUCCUGAACCAGGGCCCCCAGUUGCUGUUUCUGUAUGGUGAUGGGAAAGAGAUGAACAAAGGAAAUGCCUCUGCCCGGUUCUCGGUCCAGCAGCAGUCCAAUGACCAUCGCUCUGAGCUGACUGUGAGCUCCUUGGAGCCGGAGGACUCAGCCCUGUAUCUCUGUGCCAGCAGCAUGGCACAGCCCUGCGCCAGCAGUAGCCUACAGCACAAAUUUCUUCCUGCCCAGCUCAGGAAGUGA